CAGGGUGAGAACUCCUCGGCAGUGGCCGGUGGCCCGCACCUCCUCCCGCGCCCUUCCCUCGCGGCCCUCGCCCGGUUACCUCCAGGCGGCUCCCAAGGCUCGCCCUGCCCGGUUCCAGGGCCCUGCUGUCUUUCUCUGUUGGCCAGGCUGGAGUGCAGUGGCACAGUCCCGGCUUACUGCAGCCUCGACCUCCUGGGCUCAAAGAAUCCUACUGCCUCAGCUGCAGCUUCCGGGGUACCGGGAACCACAGACGCGUGCCACCACACCGGCCAGUUUUCUUUACUUUUUGUAGAGACGGGGUCUCACUGUGUUGCCCAGGCUGGUCUCAAGCUCUCCUGUUGCCCCUGCACCCCAAAAUGACGGGACUACAGGCAUAAGCCAUCACUCCACCCCAGAGCUAGGUUUCGAAGGAUGAAGAGUGAUACGCCAAACAAGACAAGGGAGAGAAAAGGAAUGUUAUGCUGAAAGUUAUGCAAGUAAACUAUGCAAAGGCAUAAAACAACCUCCUACAUAAAUUUUUGUCUUUUAAAGAUGGGAUCUCAAAAAGAAAGAAAAACAAGAAGAUGGGGUCUUGCUUGUCGCCCAGGUCGGAGUGCAGUGGUGCGAUCAUAGCUCACUGCAGCUUUGAACUCCUGGCCUUAGCCUCUUGAGUAGCUGGGGCUAAAGAGGUGGCUAGAAACAGAUUUUCAUCUGUAGGAGACAGGAAGCCAGUAAAGAGUUUUAAGCACUGGUAAAAUACAUUGGUAAUUUUGUACUAAAGAAAUAUCGUUCUUUGGAAGGUGUGGCUUAGAUCAAACUAGAGACCGGAAGACCUUAAGAGCCCAAUGACAAGUGAAGACAGUAGGAAUGGAGGCCUCACCAGGAAUCAAAAGUAUUCAUCCGGCCUAAGUGAUAGGCCUUGGUGAUCACCUGGAUGUAGGGCAUGAGAAUGAGAGGCCUCUUGGCCAGGCUGAGCCUGUAAUCCCAGCACUUUGGGAAGCCGAGGUAGGUGGAUCACCUGAGGUCAGGAGUUUGAGACCAGCCUGCCCAACAUGGUGAAACCCCAUCUCUACUAAAAAUACAAAAAUUUGGCCGGGCACCGUGGCUCAUGCUGUAAUCCCAGCACUUUCGGAGGCUGAGGCAGGCAGAUCACAAGGUCAAGAGAUCAAGACCAUCCUGGCCAACAGGGUGAAACCCUGUCUCUACCAAAAAUACAAAAAAUUAGCAGGGCGUGGUGGUGUGUGCCUAUAGUCCCAGCUACUACAGAGGCUGAGGCAAGAGAAUUGCUUGAAACUGGAAAAUGGAAGUUGCAGUGAGCGGGGAUUGCACCACUGCAUGCCAGCCUGGCGAUACAGUGAGACUGUCUAAAAAAAAAAAUUUUGCUGGGCAUGGUGGUGGGCACCUGUAAUCCCAGCUACACAGGAGGCUGAGGCAAGAGAGUCACUUGAACUUGGGAGGUACAGGUUGCAGUGAGCUGAGAUUGUGCCACUGCACUCCAGCCUGAGCAACAGAGUGAGACUCUGUCUCAAAAAAAAAAAAAGAAUGAGAGGGUUACUUGAAUGAAUCCAAGAUUUCAGAUGCGAUAAAUUGGAUAGUGUGCUAUUAAUCGUGACAGAGACUAAAGGAGUCACUUUAGUCAGGAGAGAGGAAACUGAGGUACCAAUGGGACCUCCACAAGGGGCUGCCUAGUGAGCAAAUCAGUUUCCCAUCUGGCACUCAGUAGAGGCCUUGGCUAGUCAUACCAAGUUGAGAGUCUUCAGCCCGGAGGCUGUAGUCAACAGCUGGGAUGGAAGACGGAAGCUGGGGAGAGAGCAGGAUGAGCACUAUUUAGGGAUGACCAGAAGAAAGUAGGGGAAGAGAAACGCUCAGAGAGGGAAAAACCAGGCAAGUCAUAGUCUUACAGUGCCAAAUUUUACACAUAGUUCAGAUACAAUGAAAAUCAAUGCAAAACUUGGUAAUUAAGAGGCCUUCCCUAAGGGGAGAAAUUUCGGAGGCCACAGAGAAAGCAAGUACGCUAUGAGGGAGAGAAUGAGAGGAAGAAAGGAAGACGGGGUGCAUGCAGCUUGUGGUUUUGAGAUCUUUGGCUGAGAUGUGAUGGAAAGGUUGAGGAUAAGUGGAGGAAGUUUAAGGUCAUGGGAGAUUUUCAUCUGAUGAAACGAGAGCUUGAUCUGCUGAAGGAAGGGAACUUACGGGACAGCUGAAGGUGCAGAAGUGAUAAGUGAUGUGAACAAGUCCCAAGAAAGCAGGAAGGACGAUCCCACCAUGAGCCUGGAGGGGAUGCGUCCCUACACUGAUGACAUUCUGGGAGGGUACAUGUUGGGUGAGUUUUCUGCUGAAGCAGGAGGCAGAGACUGGCUGGAUUUUUUUAAAGAAUGGAUUAGCCACUGAGGUCAAGGGCCAGAAAGGCAAGGGAAAGAAUUGACAAGCCAAAGGCUCCUGAGUGAGUGAACCACGGAUGGAUGGUAGCAUCAGUACACACUUCAGCGAUUUUCCUCAGCAGAGCUGCCCACGGUGAGGCAUAGAACAGAUGCCGAUGAGAGCUGCAGAUCUGUAGGGCAGAGCAGCUCAAGCCAUCCUCCAGGGGUUCCACCAGAUUAUAAACGCCUUGUUUUUAAGUUCAUUUGGCACAGUGGAGAAAACAUGGGCUUUGGAGGCAGCAAGCUGAAAGUACCUCCUGCGAAGCAUUCUGCCUGACCUGAGCCUGGGUCCUCUCGUUUGUUAGAGACAAUCCAUGCCACCCUGCUCUCCCCGCCCCCAGAAGGGCACUGUAAGGACUAAAUCAAGUAAUGUCUGUGGAAGAGCCCAGCAUCUACCCAGGGUCCACAGAAGGUACUGAAUUAAAUGUUAAUUUUCUUCCUUCUACAGGAAGAUACUUAUUAUUUUGUCUCUUGUGACUGCAAAAAUACUGAAUUUUAUGUAUCAUACUUGCAUUUUUUUUAAAUCUCCAAAUCUAAAUUUAUAAAAAUAGAUUCUUUGCUUUGUACUAGCUUUCACAGCAGGGUUCUUUUCAGUAGCAACAGCCCCCACAACAUUUAAAACAUGGUUCAGUUCACAGUGAUUCAGGGACAUAUCUGAGGCCUAAGCAUAAACGUGUAUGUGUUGUAGCUGUGACCCUAGAAAGAGGGAUUUACCAACCAAGUAUAGGUGCUGAAGUCACAAUCCCCAGCUUCCCUUGACCCAGAUACUGUUUUAUCUGAAGGACUCAGGAUCUGUAGGAGGACAUCCCUGCUAAUUCAAACUCAGGCUGCCUGCGUUUGAAUUCUGGCUCUGUCAUUUACUGGCUGUGUGGCCUUGGGUAAGUUUAUUGAUACCUAUGGGCCUCAAUUUCCUCAUAUAUAAAAUGAAAAUAAUAAUACCUAUAACCCCUAGGAUUGUUUUGAGAACUGAGAGCAUUAGUACAUUUUAAAAGCUCAGAAUAGGACCUGGCCCCUCUGCCAGUGACUGAGUGUGACAGCUACUAUACCCCUGCUGCUGCUGGCUGGAAGUCUGUUUUAAGUAUUGCAGGAGACAUGUACGGAGAAAAGACUUCAGUAUAAUUGCAAUCACAACACAUGCCCUGACACUUCCCCAUAGCACACAUUAAGAGUGACAUGGUGCCUACACCCGGGAGCAGCUUCCAGAUCCCAAAUCAUAGUAGUAACCAAAAUGGGGAGAGCUGCAACAUCAACCCUGGUAAUCCAGAAAAGAUGUGAAGGAACCAACUAGAUUCAGGGCCCUGAAUCUGCGGAUUACCUACCCUCACCCCAUCAUGUGCAGCUAUUUGUAACUACACAGAAUGUAUUAAAAAUUUGUAGUCCUAUCUUCACAUCUUUGGGGAGGAAUACCUGCUGCUGCCUUGAAGACCCACAGUGGCAGCAAAGCCAACUAAAUUGCAGAAGGGCACCACUGUAAUAGAAGGUACAGUGGAACAGUUUGAAAGUUUGAACUUGUUUUUUACUUCCCUAGCUGCAGUCCAGGGCUCACUUGAAAAGCUUAAACCUUACCUGUUAGGAGCUCUAGGCUGCUGUUACCAGGUGCGUCCUCAGUGCUCUGAGCUGAGUCCUUUUUCUCUAGGGUUAGCUGCUUGAAAAAUUAGAAGUCCUAAGUGAGUUUUGCAGAAACAUGAAUGAGCCCUAGUGAAACAAGAGUGUGCCUAUCGCUGACCUCACAAGGCUGUCUGCCCUCACCUGGAAUUCUCUCUUCCUCCUGGCUCAUGAAUCCCCUACCCAGCCUCCAGCCUUCAGGGUUUCCCUCGGUGGAUCCUUCUGCACUCUGGCUACUCACGGCACAUCCUUUCUUCUCUGAACUCUGGUCUCUUGCCUACUGCCUGCUCCACUCAUCAGGCUCUGUAUAUUCUGCUAGUAUGCUCUGUGACUGUUCAUCAAGUAAUAUGCGUAUGUCCAUUUUCUACACCUUAAAUCUCUUGAAAGGCAAGAAUCAUCAUGCCUCUGUCACUUUAUAGCUAGCAGAGUCCCUUACACAAGGUAAAUUUGAGAAAGUCAAACCUGGGAAGUCAGAGGGUGUAUUCUGUAGUCAUCUGUAGCCUCGAGCCUUGCCACAAUGGUUAGUCCAAUAAUUUUGACAGAGAGGUUCUUAAUGAUUUGGAAGAGAGGUUCUUAAUGUGACCAGAACCCAAUCCUCCCAGCUCCUUUUCAAGAAUACAAAUGUAUAAAAAUAGAUACCCUCUUCCUCAAAAAUUUGUGGCUGGGUAUGGCGCCUGUAAUCCCAGCACUUUGGGAGGCCAAGGUGGGCAGAUCACCUGAGGUCAGGAGUUCGAGGCUAGCCUGGCCUACAUGGUGAAACCCCGUCUCUACUAAAAAUACAAAAAUUAGCCAGGUGUGGUGGUGGGCACCUGUAAUCCUAACUACUUGGGAGGCUAAGGCAGGAGAAUUGCUUCAACCUGGGAGGUAGAGGUUGCAGUAAGCCGAGAUUGCACCAUUUGCACUCCAGCCUGGGUGAAGGAGGCUGAGGCGAGCAGAUCACAAGGUCAGGAGAUUGAGACCAGCCUGACCAACAUGGUGAAACCCUGUCUCCAAUAAAAAUACAAAAAUUAGCCAGGCAUGGUGAUAUGUAUCUGUAAUCCCAGCUACUCUGGAGGCUGAGGCAGGAGAAACGUUUGAACCCAGGAGGCAGAGGAUGCAGUGAGACAGGAUUGCACCACUGCACUUCAGCCUAGCAACAGAGCAAGAAUCCAUCUCAGAAGAAAAAAAAAAAGGCAAAAGAUUUGAAUAGACAUUUCUUCAAAGAUAUGCAAAUGGCCAAUAAGCACAUGGAAGAGAUACUCAGCAUCAAUAUUCAUUAAAGAAAUGCAAAUUGAAACCUCUAAAUUACUUCACAUGCACUAGGAUGCCAAUAAUAAAAACUGACAACUGUUCAUGAGGGUACAGAGAAAUUGGAACCAUCACACGGUACUGGCAGGAAUGUAAAAUGGUGCAGACUGUGGAAAUCGGCUUGAAAGUUCUUUAAAAAAGUUAAAACAUAGUGUUAUAUGACUCAGCAAUUUUACUCCUAGAUAUAUACCUGAGAGUUACAAACAUGUCCACACAAGUGUUCAUAACAGCAUAUUCAUAAUAGCUAAAAAGUAGAAAAAGCUUGUGUUCCACUAAUUAAUGGAUAAACAAUGUGGUAUAUCCAUACAAUGGACUAUUAUUCAGCCAUACGAAUGGAUGAAAUUAUGUGUUACAUGGUAAUAACAUAGAUGAACCUUGGGAACAUGCUAAAUGAAAGAAGUCACACAAAGGCCACAUGUUGUGUGGUUCCAUCUAUAUGAAGUAUCCAGAAUAGGCAAAUCAAUAGAAAUGGGAGGUAUAUUAGUGGUUGGCAGUGUUGAAGGAAGAGGGGAACUGGGACUCGCUGCGAACAGGUACUGCUCAUGGCAUGAUGGAGAGGUUCUGGAAUUUAGUGGUGAUGGCUGCACAGCAUAGUGAAUAUACUUAAAGCCAAUGAGUUUUAUUCUUUAAAAUGGUACAUUUUAUGGCACAUCAAUUAUCUCUAUAAGACAUCUAUCAUAUAUUGUUUAAUAAAACAAGUUUUAGUUCCUAAUUACAUUCCAAGGAACAUAAAAGGGGCAAAGAUAACUAAAGAUGUGAAGAAAGAAACUGGAUAUUUCCCAAACAUUUUUUUUCUUGAGAGAUACUUUUUUUUCUUGCUUUAGCUUGGGAAAUCUCAUGUAAUAGAUAAACCUUUCUCCUAUCUUGAAAUUGGUCUGAUCAAGGAAUUACCUACAUGGAAAUACAAAGCUCUAGGCCUAUCUGGGAGCCUUGCAUGUCCUGCAUUCAUCAUCUGUCCCUCGGAUAAGACAGCCCUACUUCAAGAUACACCUCCUUGGAUUUUUGUUUCUUUUCCUUUUUGAUAUAGUCUUCCUCCCGUCGUGCAGCCUGGAGUGCAGUGGUGCAAUCUCAGCUCACGGCAAACUUCACCUCCUGAGUUCAAGCAAUUCUUCCUCAGCCUCCAGAGUAGCUGGGAUUACAGGCAUGCACCACCAUGCCCAGCUAAUUUUUGUAUUUUUAGUAGAGAUGGUUUCCCCAUGUUCACCAGGCUGGUUGUGAACUCCUGAUCUCAGGUGAUCCACCCACCUCGGCCUCCCAAAGUGCUGGGAUUACAGGCAUGAGCCACUGUGCCCGGCCCCUCCUUGGAUUUAACACUAUAAGACAUUUAUUUCUAGUCCACUCCACCCCCUGCCCACCGGAAACAAUGCCUUUCCUUAGAAAAUUGCCUCCUUGUUACUACUGCUCAAAUUCUGGGUUUAAGUUCUAACUCCCCUGACACACCUGUGACAUUAAAUCCUGGAGUACUAUCUUGGUCACUCCUCCCUGGCCCACUGUCUCUUCCAACAUUCAGACUUAAAAUAUCCACUCCUAGCCAGGUGCAGUGGUGCACACCUAUAGUUUCAGCUACUCAGGAGGGUGACACAGGAGGAUCACUUAAGCUUGAGGCUGUAGUGCAUCGUGAUCACACCUAUGAAUAGUCACUGCAUUCCAGCCUGGGCAGCAUAGUGAGAACCUGUCUCUAAACAAAUAAAAACGAUACCCUCUCCAUUCUUACUCUGUAACACUCUAAAUAUAUAUUCCCUCGUUUUGUUUUCAAUUUCUCAAUAAAGCAUAUAGUAGAUGGUUUUCUUUCCUAUUAAGAGGCCAGCUAAAACAGAAUGGCCUACAGGUAAAAGAAUCUGACCUAUUAUCCUUAGUCUUGUAGUUUUAGCUGAAGCCACUGGGUGCCACUCUUGUACCGCUAAUAAGUUAUUUAUCACUAAAUGGCCAUUAUGAGGAAAACCCUAUGAUCCUGAGUAGAGAGAGAAGCAUGGGUUCUACCCAAUGACCUGGAUCACUCAUCUUCCCUGGGCUUGCAGCCCAGUCCUCUAUGUUAACAGUAUUACCAGACUUCAGAGCCAGGAGAUCUCAGUACAAAUUCUAGCGUUGUAUUUACUGACUGUGUGACUCUGGGCAAAUUAUGAAAGUUCUGUAACCAGUUUCCUCAUCUGUAAAAUGGUUAAACUGUGACCUAAUUUAUAACAUCUUUGCAGAGAUUAAAGUGAAAACCUUGGCACAGAUUAGGGAUUCAGUAAGUGUUUCUUCUAAGACCUAUGACUACUGGUAAGAACUUGAGUUCACUAGCCAUCUGCCAAGUUAACUGGGCUAUGAAUGGCCCUGAGGCUAUGAGCCAUGACUAUAGCAAAAGAACAGGGUAAAAGAGGUCAGAUUUUUUUUUUUUUUUUUUUUUUUUAAGACAGAGUCUUGCUCUGUCACCCUUGCUGGAGUACGGUGGUAGCACGAUCUUGGCUCACUGCAGCCUCUGCCUCCUGGAUUCAAGCAAUUCUCAUGUCUCAGCCUCCUGAGUAGCUGGGAUUACAAGCGUGUGCCAACAGGCAAGGCUAAUUUUUGUAUUUUUAGUAGAGAUGGGAUUUCACCAUGUUGGCCAAGCAGGUUUCAAACUCCUGACCUCAAGUGAUCCACCUGCGUCAGCCUCCCAAAGUGCUGAGAUUACAGGAGUGAGCCAAUGCACCUGGCCCAGAAUAUUUUUUUUAGGUCUUACUGGGAUAUCACAGAGGCCCAAGUUAAAAGGACUUCACAGGCUGAAACACUCCUAGAUCCUGAGUGGUCCCUAAAUCCAAUGACAGAUACCUUUUUUUUUUCUUUUUUGAGACAGAGUCUCGCUGUAUCACCCAGGCUGGAGUGCAGUAGCAACAUCUCCGCUCACUGCGAUCUCCACAUCCCAGGUUCAAGCAAUUCUCUGCCUUAGCCUCCUGAGUACCUGGGAUUACAGGCACCUGCCACCACACCCAGCUAAUUUUUUUGUAUUUUUAGUAGAGACAGGGUUUCGCCAUCUUGGGCAGGCUGGUCUUGAACUGACCUCAUGAUCCACCCACCUUGGUCUCCCAAAGUGCUGGGAUUACAGGCAUGAGCCACCGCACCUGGCCUAAUUUUUGUAUUUUUAGUAGAGACGGUGUUUCAUCAUGUUGGCCAGGAUGGUCUUGAUCACUUGACCUCAUGAUCCACCUGCCUCAGUCUCCCAAAGUACUGGAAUUACAGGCAUGAGCCACUGCGCCCAGCUGGCAGGUAUCUUUAUGAGAGAAAGGCAGAGACCAGGUGUGGUGGCUCAGGCCUGUAAUCUCAGCACUUUGGGAGGCCAAAGCAGGCAAAUCACCUGAGGUCAGAAGUUUGAGACCAGCGUGGCCAACAUGGCAAAACACUGUCACUACUAAAAAUACGAAAAUUAGCCGGGCAUGGUGGUGGGCGCCUGUAAUUCCAGCUACUCAGGAGGCUGAGGCAGGAGAAUCACGUGAACUCUGGAGGUGGACGUUGCAGUGAGCUGAGAUUGUACCACUGCAUUCCAGUCUGGGUGACAGAGUGAGUCUCAGUCUCAAAAAAAAAAGAAGGCAGAAAGAAAUUUGAGAGACGGGGAGAAAGCAACAUGAAGAUGGAGUACAGUUUGGAGUUACGCAGGCUACAGGAAGCCAAGGAACAGUUUCCAUCAGAACCUAGAAGAGGCAAGGCAAGAAAGGAUUCUCUAGAAACUUUGGAGGGGGUGUGGCCCUGCCAACACCUUGAUUUUGGACUUCUGGCCUCCAGAACUGUGACAGAAUAAAUUUUGGUUGUUUUUAAACCUUCAAGUUUAUGUUAAUUUCUCACAGCAUUCCCAGGAAAUGGAUACAAAGCAUUUUAGCUUUAUUUACUCAAGGUGUGGACGGCAGCUUUCCAAGUCCCUUUCCAGUCAGAGGGAAACUGGCAAGAGUAUUUGUGGUGUACCAGCUGAAAGGAACAGCAGACACAUUCCUGGGAAGUACAUCCUAGAAGGCACAGCCAGCAUGAAAAGGUGUGGUGAAGGGAGCACUCAGGGGUUUACUGCUGCUCUGUGCCUCUCUAGUCACACUGAAGAGGAGAAUGGCCAAGUCCACUAGAUGCUGUGAUCCUUCCGUGCCUGGGCAUCUAAACUUCCCCACCCAAUCAGGCAAGUAGAGAUACAAGUAGCAGAGAAGAUGCAGAGGAGGUGCCAAAGGCCCUGUUAAUUAUUUUCUCAGAAACAGUGACCAUAGUUUUUAUAACUAUUGAGAUAUAAACUGACCAAGUAAACUGCAGAUACAGAAAAUGUACAAUUUUAUAAGUACACAUGUCCAUACCUGUGAAACCAUCACACAAUCAACAUAAUGAGCAUACUCAUCUCCCUCUAAGUGUCCUGCUGCCCUUUAUCAUCAUUCCCUCCCUCCCACCUUCUCGUAACCACUGACCUAUAUAGAUUAGUUGGCAUAUUUAUAGAAUUAUAUAAGUACAAACAGUUUGUACUCUAAUUUCUCGAUUUUUUUCACUCACUAUGCUAUUCAAAGAUUCAUCCAUGUCAUUGUGUUUCAAUAGUUCUUUUAUUUUCACAUAGUGUUCCUUUAUGUGGAGCUACAACAAUUUGUUUAUCCAUUUACCUGUUGAUAGUUGUUUCUCAUUUUUGGCUAUAACAAGGGUGCUGUGAAGAUUUGUGUACAAGUCUUUGUGUGGACAUAAUGCUUUCAUUUCUCUUGGGUAAAUACCUAGGAGUGAAAGCACUAGGUCAUGUGGUAGGUGUAUGUUUAACUUUUUAAGAAACUGCCAAACUGUUUUCCAAAGUGCUUGUUCCAUUUUUCAUUUCCACAAACGGUGUAGGACAUUAGGACAUGAGUUCACUCCUCCACAUGCUUGUCAACACGUGGUAUAGUCAGGCCUUACAUUCCAAUGGCAUGAAAUGGUUAUCACAUUGUGAUUCUUCUUUGAAUUUUUGUUACGACUGAUGAGGUUGUGCAUCUUACGUGUUUAUCUGCCAUUUGUGUAUCUGUAGCUUCUUUUGUGAAGUGUGUUCAAAUCUUUUGCCCAUAAAAAAACUGGUUUUUCUUAUUAAUGAGUUUUAAGAGUUCUUUAUAUAUUGAGGAUAUCAUGGUAAGGUUUUUAAACAUUCAAUUAAAAAAAUAGACACAGUGCUAUCAGGUACGUAGGGGUAGUUCUUUUUUUUGAGACAGAGUCUCGCUCUGUCACACAGGCUAUAGUACAAUGGCAUGAUCUUGGCUCACUGCAACCUCUACCUCCUGGGUUCAAGCAACUCUGCCUCAGUCAGCCUCUUGAGUAGCUGGGAUUACAGGCAUGUGCCACCACGCCUGGCUAAUUUUUCUAUUAUUAGUAAAGAUGAGGUAUUACCACAUUGGUCAGGCUGGUCUCGCACUCCUGACCUCCAGAUCCUCCCAAAGUGCUAGGAUUUCAGGGGUGAGUCACCAUGCCCGGCCUGAUAAUCCUUUUAAUAUCUGAUGCUACCUUUCUCAUUUCUGAUAGUGGCAAUUUGUGUUCAUUCUUUUUAUUCUGAUUAGUCUGGCUAAAUGUUUAUCAAUUCUAUUAAUCUUCUAAAUUAGCCACCUUUUACUUUCAUUGAUUUUUCUCUAUUGUUUUUCUGGUUUCUAUUUUACUGAUUUCCAUUCUGAUCUUUAUUAGUUCAUUUCUUCUGUUUAAGUUGUGUUUAAUUUGCUCUUCUUAUUAUAGUUUAAGUUGGAAAGUAAUGUCAUUAAUUUGAGCCUUUUUUCUUUUCUAACACAGGCAUUUUCCCCUCUAAACACUACAUCAGCUACAUCCCAAAAUUUUGAUAAUUUUCUUUCUCAUUUAAUUAAAUUAUUUCUAAUAUCCCUUUUAUUUCUGUGUUUAAUCCAUGGGUUAUUUAUAUGUGUGUCAUUUAGUUUCCAAAUAUUUUGGAAUUUUCUAGAUAUCUUGUUACUGAUUUUGCUUUAAUAAUUCUAUUAUAGUCAGAAACAUACUUUUAUGACUUAGAGACUUUAAAAUGUAUUGAGACAUAUUUAAUGCCUUAGAAUAUGGUCUGUCUUGUUAAAAGUUCCUUGUGCACUUGAAAAUAAUGCAAAUUCUUCUGUGGCUGAACAGUGUUUUUAUACCUAUUAGGUCAAAGUGAUUGAAAGCACUGUUCUGACUUUCUGUCUCUACUUAUCCUAUCAAUUAUUGAGAUAAUUUUGUUGAAAUCUGGAAAUAUAAUUUUGGAUUUGUCUAUUUCUCCUUAUAGUUCUAUUAGUUUUAUGUAUUUUUAAGUAUGUAUGUAUGUAUGCAUGUAUGUAUUUUGAGGCAGGGUCAUGCUGCUACCCAGACUGGAGUAUAGUGACGUCAUUUUAGCUUACUGCAACUUCUGCCUCCUGGGCUCAUGCAAUUCUUCCACCUCAGCCUCUCGAGUAGCGGGGACUACAGGUGUGUGCCACCACACCUGGCUAAUUCUUCUAUUUUUUUUGUAGAGACAGGGUUUUGCCAUGUUACCCAGGCUGGUUUUGAACUCCGGGGCUCAAGUAAUCCACAUGCCUCGGUCUCCCAAAGUGUUGAGAUUACAGUUGUGAGUCAUCAUGCCCAGCCCCCCUGUAUCCUGUUUUUUGUUUGUUUGAGACAGAGUCUCAUUCUGUUCCCCAGGCUGGAGUGCAGUGGUGCGACCUUGGCUCACUGCAACCUCCACCUCCUAGGUUCAAGCAAUUCUCCUGCCUCAGCCUCCCAAGUAGCUGGGAUUACAGGUGUGUGCCACUGCACCCAUCUAAUUUUUGUAUUUUUAGUAGAGACGGGGUUUCACCAUGUUGACUGGGGUGGUCUUGAACUCCUGACCUUGUGAUCCACCCACCUCAGCCUCCAAGAGUGCUGGGGUUACAGGCGUGAGCCACUGCUCCCAGCCUGUGUCAUGUAUUUUAAAGCUUUCUUAACUGCAUAAAAGAGAAAAAAAGGAAAAAAAAGAAUAAAAAAUAUGCAUGAA